rnacentral:tmRNA from 1 species
GGGGCUGAUUCUGAUUCGACGGGAUUUGCGAAACCCAAGGUGCAUGCCGAGGGCGGUUGCCCGUAAAAGCCGCAAAAAAUAGUCGCAAACGACGAAACCUACGCUUAGCAGCUAUCAACCUGCUUAGAGCCCCUCCCAGCCUCCGCUCGACGGGGAUCAAGAGAUUUCAAACCCAAAAGAGAUCGCGGAUGCCCUGCCCGCUGAAGCGUUAAAACGAAUCAGGCUAGUCUGGCAGUGGCGUGUCCAACCGCAGGUGCCAAAGCGAAUGUAAAGACUGACUAAGCAUGUAGUACCGAGUGAUGUAGGAAUUUUCGAUCGUAACUCCUGCCAGCUCCACUA